rnacentral:rRNA from 1 species
UAUCGGAUUGAUACUAAGCCAUGCGAGUCAUUGCAGUAAUGCAAGGCAGACGGCUCAGUAACGCGUAGUCAACCUACCCUAUGGACGGGAAUAACCUCGGGAAACUGAGUAUAAUGCCCGAUAGAACACUAUUCCUGGAAUGGUUUGUGUUCCAAAUGAUUUAUCGCCGUAGGAUGGGACUGCGGCCUAUCAGUUUGUUGGUGAGGUAAUGGCCCACCAAGACUAUUACAGGUACGGGCUCUGAGAGGAGUAGCCCGGAGAUGGGUACUGAGACACGGACCCAGGCCCUAUGGGGCGCAGCAGGCGAGAAAACUUUGCAAUGUGCGAAAGCACGACAAGGUUAAUCCGAGUGGUUUGUGCUAAACGAACCUUUUGACAGUCCUAGAAACACUGUUGAAUAAGGGGUGGGCAAGUUCUGGUGUCAGCCGCCGCGGUAAAACCAGCACCUCAAGUGGUCAGGAUGAUUAUUGGGCCUAAAGCAUCCGUAGCCGGCUCUGUAAGUUUUCGGUUAAAUCUGUACGCUCAACGUACAGGCUGCCGGGAAUACUGCAGAGCUAGGGAGUGGGAGAGGUAGACGGUACUCGGUAGGAAGGGGUAAAAUCCUUUGAUCUAUUGAUGACCACCUGCGGCGAAGGCGGUCUACCAGAACACGUCCGACGGUGAGGGAUGAAAGCUGGGGGAGCAAACCGGAUUAGAUACCCGGGUAGUCCCAGCUGUAAACUAUGCAAACUCAGUGAUGCAUUGGCUUGUGGCCAAUGCAGUGCUGCAGGGAAGCCGUUAAGUUUGCCGCCUGGGAAGUACGUACGCAAGUAUGAAACUUAAAGGAAUUGGCGGGGGAGCACCACAAGGGGUGAAGCCUGCGGUUCAAUUGGAUUC